rnacentral:rRNA from 1 species
UACGGAGGGGGCUAGCGUUGUUCGGAAUUACUGGGCGUAAAGCGCGCGUAGGCGGAUCUGCAAGUCGGGGGUGAAAUCCCGAGACUCAACCUCGGAACUGCCUUCGAUACUGCGGGUCUCGAGUCCGGGAGAGGUGAGUGGAAUUCCUAGUGUAGAGGUGAAAUUCGUAGAUAUUAGGAAGAACACCAGUGGCGAAGGCGGCUCACUGGCCCGGUACUGACGCUGAGGCGCGAAAGCGUGGGGAGCAAACAGG